GACGAACGCCGGAGGCGUGCUUAACACAUGCAAGUCGAACGAUGAAAUGGAGCUUGCUCCAUGGAUUAGUGGCGAACGGGUGAGUAACACGUGAAUAACCUGCCCUUAAUUUUGGAAUAACCCAGGGAAACCUGGGCUAAUACCGGAUAAGUAAACCUGUGGCAUCACAUGGUUUUGGAAAGUUUUUCGAUUAAGGAUGGAUUCGCGGCCUAUUAGCUUGUUGGUGAGGUAAUGGCUCACCAAGGCGACGACGGGUAGCCGGCCUGAGAGGGUGAACGGCCACACUGGGACUGAGACACGGCCCAGACUCCUACGGGAGGCAGCAGUGGGGAAUAUUGUGCAAUGGACGAAAGUCUGACGCAGCGACGCCUCGUGAGGGACGAAGGUCUUCGGAUUGUAAACCUCUUUCAGCAGGGACGAAGCGAAAGUGACGGUACCUGCAGAAGAAGCACCGGCUAACUAUGUGCCAGCCGCCGCGGUAA
rnacentral:rRNA from 1 species